GAUGAACGCUGGCGGCGUGCCUAAUACAUGCAAGUCGAGCGGAAAGGCCCUUCGGGGUACUCGAGCGGCGGACGGCUGAGUAACGCGUAGGAACGUACCCCAAAGUGAGGAUAACUGCUCGAAAGAGUAGCUAAUACCGCAUGUGCUCUUCGGAGUAAAGCUUCGGCGCUUUGGGAACGGCCUGCGUCCUAUUAGCUAGUUGGUGAGGUAAUUGCUCACCAAGGCGACGAUAGGUAGCUGGUCUGAGAGGAUGAUCAGCCAGACUGGGACUGAGACACGGCCCAGACUCCUACGGGAGGCAGCAGUAGGGAAUUUUCCACAAUAGGCGAAAGCCUGAUGGAGCAACGCCGCGUGCAGGAUGAAUGCCUUCGGGUUGUAAACUGCUUUUAUAGGUGAAGAAUAUGACGGUAACCUAUGAAUAAGGAUCGGCUAACUCCGUGCCAGCCGCCGCAGUAA
rnacentral:rRNA from 1 species